rnacentral:rRNA from 1 species
UACGGGGGGAGCAAGCGUUGUUCGGAUUUACUGGGCGUAAAGGGUGCGUAGGCGGCGCGGUAAGUCGGGUGUGAAAUUUCGAGGCUUAACUUCGAAACUGCAUUCGAUACUGCCGUGCUUGAGGACUGGAGAGGAGACUGGAAUUUACGGUGUAGCGGUGAAAUGCGUAGAUAUCGUAAGGAAGACCAGUGGCGAAGGCGGGUCUCUGGACAGUUCCUGACACUGAGACACGAAGGCCAGGGGAGCAAACGGG